UCAGCAGCCGCGGUAAUACGGAGGGUGCGAGCGUUAAUCGGAAUUACUGGGCGUAAAGGGUGCGUAGGCGGAAGCUUAAGUCUGAUGUGAAAGCCCCGGGCUUAACCUGGGAAUGGCAUUGGAAACUGGGUUUCUAGAGUGUGGUAGAGGAUAGUGGAAUUUCCAGUGUAGCGGUGAAAUGCGUAGAUAUUGGAAAGAACACCGAUGGCGAAGGCAGCUGUCUGGGCCAACACUGACGCUGAGGUACVAAAGCGUGGGGAGCAAACAGGAUUAGAUACCCUGGUAGUCCACGCCCUAAACGAUGUCGACUUGUCGUUGGGGGAAUUUAUUCCCUCAGUGACGGGCAUGAACGCGUUAAGUCGACCGCCUGGGGAGUACGGCCGC
rnacentral:rRNA from 1 species